CCAUGCACCCACAAGCACAACCAAGCCCAAAUGAAAGGUUUGGGUGUACUUGCGGAUGAAUGG
ensembl:miRNA